rnacentral:rRNA from 1 species
GCGGCAGGCCUAACACAUGCAAGUCGAGCGCCCCGCAAGGGGAGCGGCAGACGGGAUAGUAACACGUGGGAACGUACCUUUCAGUUCGGAACAACCAAGGGAAACUUUGGCUAAUACCGAAUACGCCCGUAAGGGGAAAGAUUUAUCGCUGAAAGAUCGGCCCGCGUCUGAUUAGCUAGUUGGUGGGGUAAUGGCCCACCAAGGCGACGAUCAGUAGCUGGUCUGAGAGGAUGAUCAGCAUCACUGGGACUGAGACACGGCCCAGACUCCUACGGGAGGCAGCAGUGGGGAAUAUUGGACAAUGGGCGCAAGCCUGAUCCAGCCAUGCCGCGUGGAUGAUGAAGGCCCUAGGGUUGUAAAGUCCUUUCGGCGGGGAAGAUAAUGACGGUACCCGCAGAAGAAGCCCCGGCUAACUUCGUGC